GAGCCGGCCGGGCGGCCGCUGCACUGCCCAGCAGUGCAGAGGAAAGUCCGGGCUCCACAGGGCAGGGUGCCAGGUAACACCUGGGCGGCGUGAGCCGACGGAAAGUGCCACAGAGACCAGACCGCCGAUGGCCGGCGCCUCAGGCGCCGGCACAGGCAAGGGUGAAAGGGUGCGGUAAGAGCGCACCGCGCGGCUGGUAACAGUCCGCGGUAAGGCAAACCCCACCCGGAGCAAGGCCAAAUAGGGGAGCUAUGGCGUGGCCCGCGCCGCUCCCGGGUAGGCCGCUAGAGGCAUGCGGUGACGUAUGCCCCAGAGGAAUGGCCGCUCUCGACAGAACCCGGCUUACAGGCCGGCUCUC
rnacentral:RNase_P_RNA from 1 species